GACGAACGCUGGCGGCGUGCUUAACACAUGCAAGUCGAACGGUAAGGCUCCGCCUUGCUGGGGUGCACGAGUGGCGAACGGGUGAGUAACACGUGGGUGACCUGCCCUUCACUUCGGGAUAACCUCGGGAAACUGGGGCUAAUACCGGAUAGGACCUCACGCUGCGUGGGGGGGGGUGGAAAGUUUCGGCGGGUGGGGAUGGACCCGCGGGUCAUCAGCUUGUUGGUGGGGUGGUGGCCUACCAAGGCUUUGACGGGUAGCCGGGCUGGGAGGGUCAGAGGCCACAUUGGGACUGAGGUAACGGCCCGACUUCUACCGGGGGGAGGCGUGGGGAAUAAUGCAACAUGGGCCGAAGGCUUAUGGAGGCACGCCGCGGUGGGGGAGGCGGCCUUUGGGGUUGUAACCGCCUUUCCCUGUCGCCGAGGGUGUUCGGCCGUUAUGUGUAGAGGAGGCACCGGUAACUUCCUG
rnacentral:rRNA from 1 species